rnacentral:rRNA from 1 species
GACGAACGCUGGCGGCGUGCUUAACACAUGCAAGUCGAACGGUGAAGCGCCUUCCUUUUUGGUGGGUGUGGAUGAGUGGCGAACGGGUGAGUAACACGUGAGUAACCUGCCCCCUUCUUCUGGAUAACCGCAUGAAAGUGUGGCUAAUACGGGAUAUUCUGGGUCUGUCGCAUGAUGGGUCUGGGAAAGAUAUUGUUUCGGUGGGGGAUGGGCUCGCGGCCUAUCAGCUUGUUGGUGGGGUGAUGGCCUACCAAGGCGGUGACGGGUAGCCGGCCUGAGAGGGUGGGCGGUCACACUGGGACUGAGACACGGCCCAGACUCCUACGGGAGGCAGCAGUGGGGAAUAUUGCGCAAUGGGCGCAAGCCUGAUGCAGCGACGCCGCGUGAGGGAUGGAGGCCUUCGGGUUGUGAACCUCUUUCGCCAGUGAAGCAGGCCUGCCUCGUUUGUGGGUGGGUUGACGGUAGCUGGAUAAGAAGCGCCGGCUAACUACGUG